rfam:Ricinus communis cultivar Hale ctg_1100012359427, whole genome shotgun sequence.
AAACCAUAAUGUGGACAACUCCUUAGUAAAUCCUUGAAACAUUCCCAGCAAUCUUACAGAAUCUCAUUCUCUUAUUGAAGAAAGCCUGUUAUUUCAUUCCUCAACUU